rnacentral:rRNA from 1 species
GACCUCCUGGGACAAAAACUGAACGCUGAGGUGCGAAAAGCGUGGGGAGCAAACAGGAUUAGAUACCCUGGUAGUCCAUGCUGUAAACGAUGUCGACUUGGAGGUUGUUUCCUUGAGAAGUGGCUUCCGAAGCUAACGCAUUAAGUCGACCGCCUGGGGAGUACGGCCGCAAGGCUAAAACUCAAAUGAAUUGACGGGGGCCCGCACAAGCGGUGGAGCAUGUGGUUUAAUUCGAUGCAACGCGAAGAACCUUACCUGGUCUUGACAUCCAUAAAAUUUUUUAGAGAUAAAAAAGUGCCUUUACCGGAAUUAUGAGACAGGUGCUGCAUGGCUGUCGUCAGCUCGUGUUGUGAAAUGUUGGGUUAAGUCCCGCAACGAGCGCAACCCUUGUUCUCUGUUGCCAUCAGGUUAUGCUGGGAAUUCAGAGGAGACUGCCGGUUAUAAGCUGGAGGAAGGUGGGGACGACGUCAAGUCAUCAUGGCCCUUACGACCAGGGCUACACACGUGCUACAAUGGCAUAUACAAAGAGAAGCAAAUCUGCGAAGACAAGCAAAACUCAUAAAGUAUGUCUUAGUUCGGACUGGAGUCUGCAACUCGACUCCACGAAGUCGGAAUCGCUAGUAAUCGUGGAUCAGAAUGCCACGGUGAAUACGUUCCCGGGCCUUGCACUCACCGCCCGUC